AUGCAGCAACUCUAUAGAGUUCUUGACGAGCACAAGGCCAGAGCCGACGUGGUCUUGCUUGCGGCUGCGAAGAAGAAAGCUCGUCAGUUGCAGUACGAGGUGCGCUGGGUUGCCGUCUCGCAGUACUACCACUACUACCUGCACCAAAAGAUGACCAAAAGUCAAGCGCAGAAGCAGCGACUUACCUUGAACAGGGAGCAGUUCAUGAUGGUAACUAUUACUAACUUUUCAUUGUUUCAAGCAGUCAACUCUAUGUUUCGUGCUCACAUGUCAUGCUUCCAAAAUUUGCAUAGGUUGUUCCUCGUUGGUGCUAUGGAAGGCAUGACGGAUGGGCGAGUUUGGUGGAUAGGUGGCUCGGCACCGAUGCAGAGUUUGCUGCCAAGAGCAUCAAGGGCCGGGCUAACCGUGGAGCCGACGGGACACACGGCCAAGGAAACAGGAACCACUGGAGCUUCAAGGCCAUGA
rnacentral:rRNA from 1 species